GUAGUUUAUGGUUGGGGUCCAAGCAAGGGAUAGAAUCUUGGACAGAACCAACAGAAUGCCCAAUCCACUCCAAUCCUCACAGCAACUCAAAAAGAUAUCUCGCUCUUCAAUUUUGAGCAUCUGUGGGCCCUGUUCUGCAACUAUACUUUCCACUUUCAGACAACACUUGCCAUUUGAAUUCCUCUGCACUAUAACUUCCGAAACAUUUCACACCUUACAAUAGGUACCAGAAUUGAUCCACCAGAUAUUUUUCUCUGCAAAUUCAUAUUCGUCGUCUAGCAAGGUAGGCACCGUAUUCUCAGUUCUAAGAGAAAUUUCCUUAGGCAAAUCCACUAUCUUUGUGGUCUUUGAAACCUUCAGUCACCUUUCCUUCCUAGAGAAUGAUUCUUAGAACUCCCAUAACUUUAUUACUUAGCUUAAACUCGAGUUACUUUUAACUUGCUAGUAUGGCUAUUAAAUUAAUGAUAUUACAUAUGGGACUUAGUUUCUGGUUAUCUGUGUUAAAGGGUGCAGGUGGAGACAUAAUAAAAAUGUAACUGGUUAAAUUUGGAGAAUGUAGAAGAAGAUUCUGUUGACUUGAGCAUCUAGAAACUUGGAAUUUGACACAAGCUGAAGGAAAAAAUGGUUGAGAGAUGCUCCUCCUUGGGAUUGUUUGAAGGACGGGAAUGGAAUAUGGAACACAUUCUAUUUUGUCUCCUUUAUUAAGUUUGGUACUUAUUCAUCCUACAGUUCAAAAAAAAAAAAAAAAAAGUAAGAGGGGCCCAAAAUUUUUCAUUCUUCAAUUGAAAAAAAAAAAAAGGAAUAUGACAGCAUGCCCCACAUCAACGAAUCUGAAGCUGCUGGGACCCAUUGAAAGCUAAAAAAGAAAAGGAUUGUACUUGCUUUGUUACUUGCAUUUCAUGGAAGAUAUGACAAAUUAUGGCCUGAAGAGGACCACUCUCCUGUCCUUGAAUUGAGCCUUGGUUGGCUUUGCAGAUUUUCUGGACAAGCUGAAGCUCAUACAAAAGUAACCAUUUCAUUUGAGAAUCGUUUUUAUGGAUUAGUCAAUCAUCAAGGAUAAAACACAUAAGAUGCUUAUUGGCGGCGAUCUGUUACUGGUGCUGGCAUUGGCUGAAACAAAAGAAAUGACCACGGAAUGCAAUUCCUUGUGGAAAAAAGUUGGGGGAGAAAAAGUUGGAAAGAUGCUGUGGAAUGGAAUGUGAGAAUCUUAACUCAAACUAAAGCCAAUGCUUGCGCGUCACUGGCGUUGUGGUCCAUCAGUAUCCCGGUCCCUUUUCACCGCUGAGAAGUUCAAAGGAUCGGUUAAUCCAAACUUGAUGGGGGUGCGGGCGCAUGAGUUAGGCCUGGACUUGAAAAUGCUGUAUAUGCAAGAGAAGGAUGUACAUCUAAAGCCAAAUGAUAAUCUAUUCAGAAUUGCAAUUACUUUUAGAAUCUCUUUGGGGCUUCUGUUGUGCCUGAUCAAUGAACCUUUCACCCACAGAGGGAAUCCAUCUUCCUACUUUAAGGAGCACCUAGCAAUUUUACAUUUUUAGAGAAACACAGAAUACAAUGAAACCAUUUUCUGUAUCCAUCUAUUCUUUUUAAA